rnacentral:tRNA from 1 species
GGGCCGUUAGCUCAGUUGGUAGAGCAGCUGACUCUUAAUCAGCGGGUCUCCGGUUCGAGCCCGGAACGGCCCACCA